CCUACGGGUGGCUGCAGUGGGGAAUAUUGGACAAUGGGCGAAAGCCUGAUCCAGCAAUGCCGCGUGAGUGAUGAAGGCCUUAGGGUUGUAAAGCUCUUUUACCCGGGAUGAUAAUGACAGUACCGGGAGAAUAAGCCCCGGCUAACUCCGUGCCAGCAGCCGCGGUAAUACGGAGGGGGCGAGCGUUGUUCGGAUUUACUGGGCGUAAAGGGCGCGUAGGCGGCGGUAUUUGUCAAGUGUGAAAGCCCCGGGCUCAACCUGGGAAUUGCGCUUGAAACGGUACCGCUGGAGUUCGGGAGAGGAGCGUGGAAUUCCCAGUGUAGAGGUGAAAUUCGUAGAUAUUGGGAAGAACACCGGUGGCGAAGGCGGCUCUCUGGACCGAUACUGACGCUGAGGCGCGAAAGCGUGGGGAGCAAACAGGAUUAGAUACCCUUGUAGUC
rnacentral:rRNA from 1 species